rnacentral:rRNA from 1 species
GACGAACGCUGGCGGCGUGCCUAAUACAUGUAAGUCGAACGCAGUGGGGACGGGUGAGUAACAAGUGGGUAACCUCCCAUCAGAGGGGAUAACACUUGGAAACAGGUGCUAAACCGAUACUGAUGGAUGGAUCCGCGGUGCAUUAGCUAGUUGGUGCGGUAACGGCUCACCAAGACCACGAUGCAUAGCCGACCUUACGUAAUGUUCCUCCCCACUGGGACUGAGACACGGCCCACACUCCUGCCCUCUUCUUCCUUUCCUCUUCUUCAUCCCUAUACAAAAGUCUGCCCUAGCAACGCCGCGUGAGUGAAUAAUUUUUUCUGUUCUUCCCACUCUGUUGUUAGAGAAGCGGUAUCUAACCAGAAAGCCACGGCUAACUACGUGCCAGCAGCCGCGGUAAUAC